CUGGUGGGCCGCAGCAGGUGCAGAUCUUGGUGGUAAUAGCAAAUAUUCAAAUGAGAACUUUGCUGGCCGAAGUGGAGAAGGGUUCCCUGUG
rnacentral:miRNA from 1 species